rnacentral:rRNA from 1 species
UCCUAGUGGCGAACGGGUGAGUAACGCGUGAGUAACCUGCCUCAUACAACGGGAUACCCGAGGGAAACUUCGGUUAAUACGGUAUAAGACCACACUACCGCAUGGUAGAGGGGUAAAAGGGGCAACCUGGUAUGAGAUGGACUCGCGUCGCAUUAGCUAGUUGGUGAGGUAACGGCCCACCAAGGCGACGAUGCGUAGCCGACCUGAGAGGGUGAUCGGCCACAUUGGGACUGAGAUACGGCCCAGACUCCUACGGAAGGCAGCAG